AAUAAUUAUAACAAUAUACAGCAAUGAGAGCUACAUGAAUCUAGUCUCUUUCUCUCUCAAAAUAUUUUAUUGUACUGUCUUCACCAUUCUUCUCUUAAUCUGUCAAUCUGAUCACCAAGAGGACUGCUGAGUGACUCGUGGGCAGGUAGCAUGGACAGCGUGGAUAUGCUGGGCAAAAGAAUGAUUCACUAAGUGACUAAGGGGCGGGAGCCAGACAGUGAGCUUUCUGAUGAACAGCGGGCAAUUUAAAACUUAUGAACUGUUGGCUGGGCACAGUGGGUCACGCCUGUAAUCCCAGUAUGUUGGGAGGCCGAGGCGGGUGGAUCACUUGAGGUCAGGAGUUCGAGACCAGCCUGGCCAAUAUGGUGAAGCCCCGUCUCUAUUAAAAAUACAAAAAUUAUCCUGGCAUGGUGGCUCACACCUGUAAUCCCAACUACUCUGGAAGCAAAGAAUCGCUUGAACCCGGGAAGCGGAAGUUGCAGUGAGCCGAGAUUGCGCCACUGCACUCCAGCCUGAGUGUCACAGUGAGACUCUGUCUCAAAAUAAACAAAUAAAUAAAUGAAUAAAUCAUGAGUUGUUUACUUCUGGGAUUUUCCAUUUAAUAUUACUAACCGUGGUUGACCAGGGGCAACAGAAGCCGUGGAUAAUGGGGGCUAUUGUACACAAAAAUUACCAUGAUAGAGUUUUACGCAGUACAAAUGAAAAACAAAAUAACACAAUUCCAUUUACACGUAGUUUUAUGUAGAAAGUCUUUAAAUAAUUGUGACUAGAAUUAAAUACAGUAGAUUACUAUUAGUAAUUAUUUGUGAUGUGACAGAUGUGUUACUAUAUACUUAGUUUAUCACUUUCUCUUCCUAGACCCACAAGAAGUUAUUUCUCAGCCUUUCUUGCAGUUUCCAUGUACUUGGGCCCUACACAAGAUGUGGGAUGAAAGCAGUGAAAGACAUUUCCACUACUGGUCCUCUUAAAAAUUCUAAUACAAACUUCCAGUAAUGACCUUGGAGACCCUAUGUUCCAGAUUGAGAAGUUAAAAGAUAGACAAGGACUACAUAGCCUACAUCAAGUUUUGGGUAAAGAAAAAUAAGAGAUGGAAGACACUAAAAGGAGGCCAGCUUUGCGAAGAAUAGAGAGGAGUCAGCACAAACUCCUGCAACUACUUCGCAAAAAAAGCUUCCAUGCUGGAGAGGCUCACAUUAUAUGGAAUUCUGGACAACACCUGUCAAAGUACUGAAUCUACCAACAAGCAUGUGAGUGAGAUUGAUUAUAACUUGUGACAGUCUCUGAAUAGAAGACCCAGAUAAGCCAUGCCCAGAUUCCUGCCCCGCAGAGACUUUGAGAUAAUAAAGGCUGUUUUUUUUUUUUUUUUUUUUGGUCAUGAAGAAUAUGUUUCUUAUCUUUUUUUUAAAUUUUAUUAUUAUACUUUAUUUUGGGAUAAUUUGUUAUGCAGGAAUUGACGAAUAAUAUAAAUACUUUUGAAAUGUAACUUUUUUAUCUUAAUAAGCAUUUAACAAAUAAUUUGAAGAUGGAUAAUCACAGAUACCUCAAUUUUUACCAACAUAACCAGGACCCUUCUUGUAACUUUGACUAAUAAAUGAUCUUUUGAACAUUACCAUUUUGUAACUGCAUUUUAGACUAUGAUUUAGUUGAAUCACCCAAAGUGUGUAAUGUCUUUUAAUGUGCACUGUCAAUUCUGUUCUGCCAUAAUGACCUCACUUUCAGUUCUUAACUAUAUUCAUCUCAGUCUUGUGGGGUGACUGUCUCAAGAAGAAUGACUGGUAAUACCAAGAACUUCUGUUGUUUCCAUAAAUAACAGCCAGAUUACAGCCAGAACCUCAAGGCUGAGCACAACCGCUCAUGUUUGGAAUCCCAGCCCUUUGGGAGGCCUAGACCAGAGGAUCACUUUGAGGACAGGAGUUUGAGACCAGAUUGGGAAACAAUGCAAGAUUUUGUCUCUGAAAAAAAAUAAAAUAAAAUAAGC
rnacentral:lncRNA from 1 species